GACAGAGGAGCCAAGCGUUGUCCGGAUUAACUGGGCGUAAAGGGUCCGCAGGCGGCACGGCACGUGGGGUGUGAAAGCUGGCGGCUUAACUGCCAGAGGCCACCUCAUACGGCCGCGCUUGAGCCCGGCAGAGGUCCGUGGAAUUGCCGGUGUAGUGGUGAAAUGCGUAGAGAUCGGCAGGAACACCCAGGGGGAAACCAGCGGACUGGGCCGGCGCUGACGCUCAGGGACGAAAGCGUGGGGAGCGAACUGG
rnacentral:rRNA from 1 species